GAAAAGAUAAGCUAAUUAAGCUAUUAGGUUCAUACCCUAAAUAUAGAAUUAAUAAUUCUUCUUUUUA
rnacentral:tRNA from 1 species